rnacentral:rRNA from 1 species
UACGUAGGGAGCAAGCGUUGUCCGGAAUCAUUGGGCGUAAAGCGCGCGUAGGUGGCCACAUAAGUCCGUUGUGAAAGUCAAAGGCUCAACCUUUGAAAGCCGAUGGAUACUGUGUGGCUAGAGUACGGAAGAGGCGAGUGGAAUUCCUGGUGUAGCGAUGGAAUGCGCAGAUAUCAGGAGGAACACCAAUAGCGAAGGCAGCUCGCUGGGACGUUACUGACACUGAGGCGCGAAAGCGUGGGGAGUGAACAGG